rnacentral:lncRNA from 1 species
GGUAAGUAGUGUUUACUUUUACUGAAUUUAUCUGGUAAAUUAUGAAUUAAAUAAAUUUAUGCAUGCUUGCGAUUGAAAUUAUUUAUUGAAAUAAUUGUUGAAAAUUAUUUAUGAUUAAAGUUAAUUGUAGAAAAUUAUUUAUGAUUGAAGUUAUUUGUUGAGUAAUUAUUAUGAUGAUAUAUGAUCUCAAAGAAUGUUAUGAUUGAU